rnacentral:misc_RNA from 1 species
AAGUCGUAACAAGGUUUCCGUAGGUGAACCUGCGGAAGGAUCAUUAGCAAUGAUAAGAAUCGACCUGUGGAAAAGCGAGGGCUCGCAAGAGCGCUCAUGUUCUCUCAGCAAGCGAGUGAGUGGGUGAGUGAGUGGAAGCGAGCGAGUGAGUGGGUGAGUGAGUGAAGCGAGCGAGUGAGUGGGUGAAGCGAGUGGGUGUCAGCAGCAGCCGACACUCGUGCCGCAGUAGCCCGCUCGCUUCCACUCACCCACCCACUCACUCGCGCACUCGCCCGCUUGCUGAGAGACAUUGACAACAACAACAACCAUGAUAGAUAGACAAACAACACAGUAUGACAACAGAGAACAACUUUUAACAAUGGAUCUCUUGGCUCUU